rnacentral:lncRNA from 1 species
GCCUGAGAGCACAGGGGGAGGGACAGUGAUUGGGAUAUAAAUACAGGCAUUUGAGCCGGCAGUGGCAACCCACUUUGGGUCCCCUCCUGUUGAAUGGGAGCUCUGUUUUCACUCUAUUAAAUCUUGCAACUGCACACUCUUCUGGUCUGUGUUUGUUCCGGCUUGAGCUGAGCUUUUGCUUGCCAUCCACGCACUGCUAAAUACCGCCAUCGCAGACCCACUGUUGACUUUCACCCCUCCAGAUCUGGCAGAGUCUUGCUGUGUUUCUGAUCCAGCGAGGUGCCCCUUGCCGCUCCCGUUCAGGCUAGAGACUAGCCAUUGUUCCUGCAUGGCUAAGUGCCUGGGUUCAUCCUAAUCGAGCUGAACACUAGUCGCUGGGUUCCACAGUUCUUUUCCGUGACCCAUGGCUUCUAAUAGAGCUAUAACACUCACCGCAUGGCCCAAGGUUCCAUUCCUCAGAAUUCAUGAGGCCAAGAACCCCAGGUCAGAGAACAAAAGGCUUGCUGCCAUCUUGGGAGUGGCCGCCACCAUCUUGGGAGCUCUAAGAACAAAGACCCACCCGUAACAUUUGGUGGCAACUGUACGGGGAUUCUCCAAAGUGUUUGUCUCUUCCAGAAUCAAAACUGUAAAACUACAAAUUGUUCUUCAAAUGGAGCCCCAGAUGCAGUCUAUGACUAAGAUCAACCACAGACCCUUGGACUGGCCUGCUAGCCCAUGCUCCGAUGUUGAUGACAUCGAAGGCACCCCUCCUGAGGAAAUCUGAACUGCGAGACCCCUCCUAUGCCCCAAUUCAGCAGGAAGCAGUUAGAACGGUCAUCGGCCAACUUCCCCAACAGCACUUGGGUUUUCCUGUUGAGAGGGGGGAUUGAGAGACAGGACUAGCUGGAUUUCCUAGGCUGACUAAGAAUUCCUAAGCCUAGCUGGGGAAGGUGACCACACCCACCUUUAAAAUAUAGGGCUUGUAACUCAGCUUACAUCUGACCGAUCAGGUAGUAAAGAGAGCUCACUAAACUACCAAUUAGGCUAAAAGCAGGAGGUAAAGAAAUAGUCAAUCAUCUAUCACCUGAGAGCACAGGGGGAGGGACAGUGAUUGGGAUAUAAACACAGGUAUUUGAGAGGCAGUGGCAACCCCCUUUGGGUCCCCUCCCAUUGAAUGGGAACUCUGUUUUCACUCUAUUAAAUCUUGCAACUGCACACUCUUCUGGUCUGUGUUUGUUCCGGCUCGAGUUGAGCUUUUGCUUGCUGUCCACCCACUGCUAAACGCUGCCGUCACAGACCCACUGUUGACUUUCACCCCUCUGGAUCUGGCAGGGUGUCCGCUGUGUUUCUGAUCCAGCGAGGUGCCCAUUGCCGCUCCUGUUGGGGCUAGAGGCUAACCAUUGUUCCUGCAUGGCUAAGUGCCCUGGUUUGUCCUAAUCGAGCUGAACACAAGUUGCUGGGUUCCACGGUUCUCUUCCAUGACCCAUGGCUUCUAAUAGACUAUAACACUCACCGCACGGCCCAAGGUUCCACUCCUUGUAAUUCGUGAGGUCAAGAACCCCAGGUCAGAGAACAAAAAGCUUGCUGCCAUCUUGGGAGUGGCUGCCCCCAUUUUGGGGCAGCCUGCCACCAUCUUGGGAGCUCUAAGAACAAUGACCCACCCGUAACAGUUCAAUCCCCCACCAAUGGGGAUUUCUCACCUCUUUGAGGUUCAAAUCCCCCCAAUGAGGAUUUCUCACCUCUUUUUGAGGUUCAAUCCCUGAAAUUAGCAGAAGGCUCAACCCCUGAAACCAGGGGUGUCUUGCUGUGCCUGUCCUGGAAGUCUCAACCCCUCAAAUGAGGGGUGUCUUGCCUUGCUUGCCCUGGAAAUCUCAACCCUUCAAACCAGUGGGUGUCUUGCCUUGCCUGCCCUCGGAGGUCGACCUGUUUCCUCCCUUUCCCCCUCUGAAGGUCCCUUGCACACUUCCUAUUCGUGUUCUCCUCUCUGGCCACUCCCCCAAGGGAGAAUUAGGCCCCUCUUAGCAUUGGCGUGCUGGUAGAAAUCCCAUGGCAGGAUCCGCCCUAAGCCAUAUGAGGUAGUUAUGGAACUGCAGAGAGGACCCACUCACUCCAUCCAGCAGUAGGACUUGUCACCAUCCACACAACAUUGCAAGCAGAGUUGUCUGUGAUCAUUCACGUGCACACACAUUCAGCCCUCCAGAAUUUGACCACCAAGGAAGUACUUCACCAGCUCCUGCGGCUUUUCCUUCCUUGGUCUGUGCAGAGAGUACUCACCAUGGAAGUGAAAUUUUGAAGAGGAAACAUUUUGCUUUCUACAAAAACACAAUCAGCUGAAUUUGUAAUCUCCCGUAUUUUUUCUUUCACUUAUUCCCGGCCUGGCCAUAGAAGGCAUUUGAGCAUUAAUUUGGACUCCAUUCUAGAAAAAUCUUUCUUUAGCACCACAAGCCAGCUGAGGAAGUUUUCCUGAGCCCUUUAUCCAGUUGCUCUAGAAAUAAAUCAGGGACUUGGAGCCCACGUAUUUAGAUAUCUAAAUAUCUAAUACACAACUGUAUCCACACAUCUAAAUAUCUAAUACACAACCGCCAGGUGCAGUGGCUUACACCUGUAAUCUCAACAACUUGAGAGGAUGGCUAGGGCCUCCGAGUUCUGGAGUUCGAGACCAGCCUGGGAAAUAGCAGGACCCUGUCUCUAAAAAAUAUAAAUAUAUUUUUUAAAAUUAGGAGUGGUGGCAUAUGUCUGUAGUCGUAGCUACUUGGGGAGAUUGCUUGAACCCUGGAAUUCAAGGCUGCAGUGAGCUACAGUCAUGCCACUGCACUGCAGCCUGGGCAACAGAGCAAGACCCUAGCUCUAAAAACAAACAAACAAACAAACAAAUAAAAUACGCAAACAGAUGUAAGCAAGUGCUUUGCUUCAUGUGUCAGGCCUCUGAGCCCAAGCCUGCACAUAUACAUCCAGAUGGCCUGAGGCAAUCAGAAGUGCAAAAGAAGUGAAACAGCCAGCUCUUGUCUUAACAGAUUGAACAACCUUAUGACAUUCCAUUAUGACUUGUUCCUUCCCUGCCCCAACUGAUCGAUCGAUCGACCUUGUGACAUUCUUCUUCUGGACAAUGAGUCUUAUGAUCUCCCCACCAUGCACCUUGUGACCCCCUCAUAGGCUGACAAUAGAUAACCACCUUUAACUGUAACUUUCCACUGCUUACCCCAGUCCUAUAAAACUGCCCCAUCCCUAUCUCCCUUUGCUGACUCUCUUUUCGGACUCAGCCCACCUGCACCCAGGUGAUUAAAAAGCUUUAUUGCUCACACAAAGCCUGUUGGUGGUCUCUUCACACGGAUGUGCAUGACAUCAUGCACUAGCCAUUAUGUGCACUCUGCAUGCCAGUUAAAAAAGACUGAGCCUGCAGAGUUCUUCCUGGGAGUUCUUAGGAACAGGAGGCAGUGGCAUUUUCCACAUUUGGAACACAGAACUCAGGCAACUAGGAUGCACGGAGGUGCAGAGCAGCUCCAUAAGGUCUGCAGGAGCUGGCUGGGCUCUUAAGAAUUUCUCUCUGCGUCCUUCUGCAUUUUGUCAAGCUGGCUAGCUGCAUGAUAGCCAAGCACUUGAUUUUUGCCCCUCCAUUUCCCGUUGCACACCCUGUCUUUCUGGUGUGGAGUUUAACCAGACAUCAGCAUCAGGCUGUUGGUUUCCCUUGCAAAGUGAUGGCUUCCGAACCCCUGGAGUUCCAGGAAGCACAAUUUGCACACUCCAUCUUGUCGUCUACGGUAGCUACCCUCUAGUUCACAGGAUAGCAGGAUAAAGGACUUUGAGUCCUUUGGUUACAAGUUGCCACGGACAAGGGAAGUCAUUUUCCUGAACUCAAAAUACCCAUCUGUGUGUUAUCGACUGUUUUUUUUUUUCUAGAUGAAAACAACUACAUUAACAAAAACAAGAUAAAUUUAAGUAGUUCAUGGUAGGUCCAGUGAAAGCUAUAAUCCGGGGUUUUAUGUUUCAUUAAUGUUUCAAAAAUUAAGGUUUAGCAAAAAAGGUGGGAUUGGGGGCCACCAAGAAGAAAGGCAGCACUCCUCUCCAAUAACUUGGGCUCGUGAUAAAGGGGAAAGCACUUAUCCUUAAACCAGACCUCACCCCUUGAAAGAUAAUUUCUUCUCUAAAGAAAUGAGCAGGAAGGGGUGGGGCUCCCGGGCUCACAGAAUUUUAUCUCAAGACAAUGACACGGUCUAAUUGCCUGAGUAAGCAGGUUCUGAACACACUAGUCUUCAAAGCUUUGAACCUGCUUCCCUGUACCUGUUUUGAAUUUCCUCCUCUCUAACGUGUAUUUAUAUCCUGCCUAUUACAAGCUGACAAGAACAAUCACUAGCAUUAUCUGUUUCCUUUCAGAUCCUGGUGUAAUUCACUUACCUUCUUCCCACGUUUUCUUUUCCUUGCCAUCUAACCAGACUGCCUCAUAAAGAUAAAGGAAGGAGAGAGGUAGCAUCUUUGGAUGUUAUUAAGAAAAAAACAGACAAACCAAACAGGCUAUUUAGUCCUGGGUACCUGGAAGAAGUUUUUGUAAAUUCAUUCAUUAAUGUGUUCAUUCCAUUAAGAAUUUACCAGGAGGUGACUAUGAAUUGAGCCCUAUGCCAGGCAGUAGGGAUUAAAAGGAGAACAAGUCCCUUUCCCUUAAGAAACUCAGUCUAGUAGAAGACAGAGACAAACACCUUAGGUAUUUACAAGAGAGUCAGUGUAAAUAAACUUGACUGUUAUCGUGGAAAAGUAUGUAUCCAGGGUUAGGCUAAAGAAGAGGUAAGGAUGAUGUCUGCUGAUUUGACUGAAGUUGUCUAGAUUUUCUCAUUACUGACAGUUGUGUCUUAAGGACUUCCUAGAGGCAAUGCCAGGCUUUGGGUGGACAGUCAUGAUGUGUACAGGAGUCACCAGAAUGCCUUUGCUUUAUGGAUGUAUUUCUUGUUGGACUCAUUUUCCUAACAUUUGGAGGAAGGAGGAAGAGUGAAAAGCACAGCCGAGACAGAAAGUGAGUGCAGAGAGAUGUCUUAGGUCAUCAGCUAUUAUUUUAGUUGGUGCAAAAGUAAUCGCGGUUUUUGCCAUAACUUUUAAUAGCUCUCUGCUUAGGGACAAAAGAAAAGGCAACUUCUUGCAUGACUCAGCUUUCAGCUUAAUUGUUUCCUUUUGGCAGAAGGAACUGGGGUACCAAGUUUUUUUUUUCUUUUUUUCUUUUGAGACCGUGUCUUGCUCUGUCGCCCAGGCUGGAGUGCAGUGGUGCGAUCUUGGCUCACUGCAAGCGCCGCCUCCCGGGUUGAUGCUGUUUUCCUGCCUCAGCCUCCCGAGUAGCCGGAACUACAUGCGCCCGCCACCGCGCCCGUCACCACGCCCGGCUAAUUUUUUGUUUUUGUAUUUUUAGUAGAGAUGGGUUUUCACCAUGUUAGCCAGGAUGGUCUCAAUCUCCCGACCUUGAGAUCUGCCCGCCUUGGCCUCCCAAAGUGCUGGGAUUACAGGCGUGAGCCACCGCGCCCGGCCCAAGUUUUUAUUUUCCUUUCACAGCUAUUAUCAAAAACCCAGAAAAUAACAAAUGUUGACAAGGAUGUGGAGAAACUGAAACCCUGUGCAUUGUUGUUGGGAAUGUAAAAUAGUACAGCUGUCAAAAACCAAAUGUGAUGGAUUAUACAUGCUUCUUCAUAUACGGCUUUUCUCAGGAAUACCUCAUGGAAAUUCUUCCAAGUCAACUGAUCUGGCUCCUACUGAUUCUUUUAAGUGGCUUUGCAAUAUGGUACCUGAUAUGGUUUGGAUCAGUGUCCCCACCAAAUCCAAUGUUGAAAUGUAAUCCACAAUGCUAGAGGUGGGGUCUGGUGGGAGGUGAUUCGAUCAUGGGGGCAGAGUUCUUAUGAACUGGUUUACACCAUCCCCCUUUGGUACUGCAUAGUGAGUGAGUUCUCAUGGAUCUGGUUGUAUAUUUGUUUAUUUAUUUUAUUUUUUGAGAUCGGGUCUCACUCUGUCAUCCAGGCUGGAGUACAGUGGUACGAUCUCGGCUCACUGCAACCUCUGCCUCCCGAGUUCAAGUGAUUCUCCUGCCUCAGCCUCUGGAGUAGCUGGGACCACAGACAAGUGCCUCCAUGCCUGGCUAAUUUUUAUAUUUUUAGUAGAGAUGAGAUUUCACUGUGUUGCCCUGACUGGUCUUGAACUCCUGAGCUCAAGCGAUGCUCCCACCUUGGCCUCCUACAGUGCCAGGAUUACAGUCGUGAGCCACCAUGCCAGCCUGAGAUGUGGUUGUUUAAAAGCAUGUAGCACCUCCCUACUCUCUGUCUUCCUCCUGCUCCUGCCAUGUGAGACACUGUCUCCCUUUUAUGCCUUCCACCACAUUUGGAAGCGUCCUGAGGCCUCCCCAGAAGCAGAAGCUGCUAUGCUUCCUGUACAGCCUGCAGAACUGUAAGCCAAUUAAACCUCUUUUCUUUAUAAAUUUCCCAGUCUCAGCUAUUUCUUUCUAGCAAUGUGAGAAUGGACUAAUACAGUACCACUAUGCGAAAAUGUAUUCAGCCAUCCCCAUAAUGAUGGGUCCAUUUGUUUCUACUUUUGCCACUGUAAACCACUACCUGCAACAAAUGGCUACACUCCAGUUUGAAAUUAAUUUCUUUAUAAAAAUAUCUAAAAACUUCAGUGAUCCAAGAAGGGUUAUGCAAUUUGGUGUUACUAUCAAUAGAAAAUAAAUUAUUUAAAAAAUUAUAACCCCCCCCUCAAAACCUUCCAGUGCUUUUGCUGAAAUGAAGGCAAAAAAAAUGGUAUGGACUAGAUAUGUAAUAAUUUAUGAAUUAUGCAUAUUCCUCUAUUAUUUAUCCCAAUAUCAUCAGCUUAUCUACAGAAUAAACAUUUGCAAUAUUAAUUAGACUUGGACAUCUUUGACAUUUUGCUUACUUUUAGUAACACAAAAUAUGUAACUUUUCAUGUAUCUGUUGACUUUUGGUUCCGAAGAUGUAUUUGUCAAGGCAGAAGGAGAGAACAUUUUAUAUAACAGUUUGUUUGUUAACUUAUUGUGUAGCUUUAAUUAUUUAGACAUAUGAUAAGUAGGCCUUAAUUUGUUCUCUCAUCCAAGUUCUGCAAAUCUUUGGAAGGGACUGAUCCACUUUGUGUCCAGUGUAUGCUCACUAAUUUUUUCCCUCCUUAUUUAUUCAACACACAUUUGCUUAACAUUUUCUAUGAGCCAGGCAUUGUUGUAAGUUCAUGCAUUCAACAAACAUUUAUUGAGUGUCAUUAGAGUGCUGAGGACUAGAUUAG